rnacentral:rRNA from 1 species
CCGCUCAGAAACUUAAAUGAAUUGACGGGGCCGCACAAGCGGUGGAGCAUGUGGUUUAAUUCGAUGAUACGCGAGGACCUUACCUGGCUCAAAUGUAUGUUGACGUAUUCUGAAAGGGAUACUUCUUCGGACAAUAUACAAGGUGCUGCAUGGUUGUCGUCAGCUCGUGCCGUGAGGUGUCGGGUUAAGUCCCAUAACGAGCGCAACCCCUAUCAUUAGUUGCCAUCAGGUCAAGCUGGGGACUCUAAUGAAACUGCCUACGCAAGUAGUGAGGAAGGUGGGGAUGACGUCAAAUCAGCACGGCCCUUACGUCCAGGGCUACACACGUGCUACAAUGGCCGGCACAGCGGGAAGCGAAGGGGCGACUCUGAGCGGAUCCCUUAAAGCCGGUCCCAGUUCGGAUUGCAGUCUGCAACUCGACUGCAUGAAGUUGGAAUCGCUAGUAAUCGUGGAUCAGCCAAGCCGCGGUGAAUACGUUCCCGGGCCUU